rnacentral:rRNA from 1 species
UACGUAGGGUGCGAGCGUUAAUCGGAAUUACUGGGCGUAAAGCGUGCGCAGGCGGUUUUGUAAGUCCGCUGUGAAAUCCCCGGGCUUAACCUGGGAACUGCGUUUGAAACUACAAGGCUAGAGUGUGGCAGAGGGGGGUGGAAUUCCACGUGUAGCAGUGAAAUGCGUAGAGAUGUGGAGGAACACCGAUGGCGAAGGCAGCCCCCUGGGUUAACACUGACGCUCAGGCACGAAAGCGUGGGGAGCAAACAGG